GGAUGUGUGAUUUCUAUGAUUUCUUUCCUUAGAGGAAAACACAGAAUUUAUAAUUUUCAAAAGGAUUGGGGGAAAGAUCUGGUCCAGGUGGGACUGUGCGUGUCCUUUCGUAUAGUCCAUGCUCCUUAGAGGUCACUGACAACUCUACCCAGAGGUGCCGAGGCCUGCAGGCUCUGAUGGCUGAUGGCAGGAAGCCACCUUUGUGUUCCCUCCAUCAGUGAAGACUAGGAGCAUCUCCUCUUGAGGUCACAUGCUCCAAUAUCAAUGGUCUUGAGCCACACAAACUGGGUAAGCAUCAUACAGUCAUCCCCCAAUUCACAAGGGAGAGAGUCCAAGCCCCCGUGGAAGGCUGGACGCAUGUUGGCCCGGAACCCUUCUCUGGACCAUGCCUUUUCUUACCCAGUCCGUGUUGACGAUGGUGUGUUCUGAAAGGUGCAGCGUGAGGCGUCUCAUUGCUGUGCCAACCUCAUACGGUGCCCUUGGAUGUCUCGUCCAUCCUCCUGAUACAACCCAAAGAGGAAGGAAGUUCAGGCUGUGAGCCUGCAGCCAUCAGAGCCUGCGUAGCACUUUAUGUACACGUCAAAAAACAGAAGUAGAAGGAAUGCUGUCUGGAAUAACAGUGUUAUAUAAGUCUAUAAACCAGUAAAAAAAUUAUCGCAUUAUAGACAUACAAAUCAGUAACAUAGCACUUAUUAUCACUAUCUUGUGUUGGGUACAGGACAUAAUUGCAUGUACUCUACUUCCACAUGACUGGCAGCACAGUAGGUCUGUUUCCACGGUCACCACAAAUGUGUGAGGAAUGCCUUGGUCACUAUGUUACGGUGGCUGAGACAUCAUAGGUGAUGGGAAUCUUUUGGCUUCAUUUUAGAAUCUUAUGGGCCCACCAUUGUCUGUCACCUGCUGUUCACCAAAACAUCAUUGUGGUGCACGCCUUCACAUGCAUACAUGCAUUUAUUCCAUUUCUGUCUUAAGUAGGUGCUGAUCACAAGCUGUGGCCAUGACUUUUGAAGUGUGAGGUGCAACAGCAAAACUAGCAUGAAUUUCAUUUUUCAGGAUUUUAUGGAUAGGUUUUUUUCCUCAUAGAUCUUAACAAACUUAGCAUAUGAUUUAUUUCUUUCCUUUCUACAUUUAGAACUUAUAUCCUUUCACAUAAAGCAAACACUUUACAACUUCUCCUUGGCAUAUCUAAAUUGCCAGCAUCACCACUCUUAUGUUUUGGGAUCAUUAUUAAGUCAAAUAAGGGCUAUUUGAACACGAUCACUGUGGUACCAUGAGAGUCAGUUUGAUAACCUACUAAGUGACUAAUGGGUGGGUAGUGUAUACAGCGUAGAUACACUGGGCAAAGUGAUGCUUCCUUCCCUGGGUGGGACAGAGUGAGACGAAACAAGAUUUCAUCCCACUGUUUAGAAUGGCAUACAAUUUAAAAGUUAGGAAUAAUUCAUUUCUGGAAUUCUCCAUUUAAUAUUUUGGGAUUUUAGUUGGCCACCAAAAAACUAAAACUGCAGAACUGUAAAUAAAGGUUGCCACUGUACGGUGGGAAAGCAUACAUGGUGGGAGCUGCUGGCUACGGGUAACAGUAAAGUCACUUGGUUUAACUAACUCUUCAGAGAUGACAAUUAUAAACCCUGGAAAGACAUCAAAGGGCUCAGAGAAGCAAACUCUGGAAAAGAGUCUACUGCAUGCAUGUUACAUGCUUUUUGCCUAGGAGCUCCAAAUCUGUACAAAAAUUGAGAUGCCUUAAAACCACAAUUGUACUGGCUUGAAAUGUUUUAGGACAGCAUCGAGGAGAGAAAUCCAGGGGCUAAGGGGGAAUCCUUGAGGGAAGGGAGCCCCUGAACUUGCACAUGAGAUUCACCAAAUAUUUGACCCAUUUAGGGUGUGUAGGUUCAAGGGAAAUGCUACCAGACACAGGAAGAAAAUAAAGCAGCACCUGGAAGGUGAAAGAUUCUAAGUGGAGAUUCUAGUUGCCGUUGGUGAAAGGGUAGACGAACUUCAGAGACUGAAACAGUUGAUUUAAUUGGCUGGUAGAAUGAAUAGAAAAAGCACCAAACAGACUGGAGUUUCUAUAAUCUAUUAUUCAAAAAUGUUUAGAAGCCACUCCAAAAUCUCUAGACAAAUGAAAAGACAGGAAAAUGUUGCUAAUAUUCAAGAAAAUCACUCGAGACCAACCCCAAGUUGAUCUAGAUAUUGCAAUUGAUAGACGAGAAAUUUUAAGCCACUACUGUAAAUGUGCUCAAAGACUGAAUGACAAAUCAAUACGCGUAGGAAAUAUAUACAAAGUAGGAAAUCUCAGAGAAGAAAUGGGAAGAGCAAAAUGGAAAUUCUAGAGUAAUGUGUCUGAUAAAAUUUUCCGAAGUGAUGGGAAUGUUCUCUAUCUGCAGCAUCUAACAAAAUAGUCACUAGUGACACGUGGCUAUUGAGUACUAGGAAUGUGGCCACCAUGAAAGGCCGGCAAUUAAUUUUAUUUAAUUUGAAUUCACUUGAAUGUAAACCGACACAUCACGACGACUACAUCUGGCAGCUUGGUUCUGCAUGCAAAAUGCACAUAACUGAAAUGAAGACGUUCCUUGAAUUGUUUAGUGGUAGAUUGGAGACAGAAGAAGAAGGAGUUUGUGAACUGAAGAUAAAUCAUGGGAAUAAUCCAAUCCAAUGAGAAGAACAGAGAUGAAGUAAAGAAGAAACAUGAACAGAGCCUCAUUGUCUAUACAACAAAAUCAAACUGAAAGACGUGCCACUGAAGUCCUAGGAGCGGAGAGAGAAAAUGAGGCAGAAGAACAUUUGUAGAAAUAACAACUGCAAAGUCCCAAAAUUUAGUGACCGAUUUACAGGCCCAAGAAGCCCAGUGAGCCAGAAGCGUGAAAAAAUACGAGAUCUACACAUAGGCUCAUCAUGAUCCAAGGGCUGAACCAAAAAAUGCUGAGAAGCUCUCAAAAGCAGUGAGAGAAAAAACAGCACAUUCCAGCCAGAGACCCUGAUGAUGUCUGACUUCUCAUCAGACACAAAGGAUUCUGGAAGGCAGUGGAGUAGUGACUUUAAAGUACUGAAAGAAAAAAAAAUUAUACCCAGAAUUCUAUACCCAGCCAAAUUAUCCACCCUCCAAAAAAUCUUGAAUACCCAGAAGUUAAUAUUAGGUGAAUGAUAAACUCAAACAUAAAAACUGACACUAAAAAGCUUUUAGGAAAAAGAGACACUAUUUUUACAAUCUCACUUAGGUAAAGGUAUUUUAGACAGGACAUGAAAAGUAAUAACUGUAAAAGAAAAAAAAAUGAUAGAUUAGACUUUCUCAAGGUUGAAACCUUCUCCUCGUAGAAAGUGGAGAUUAAGAAAAGGAACCAGCAAGCUGCGGACGCCAGGUGGGAGGAAGUGUUCAUGCAUCCAACAGGAGCUGUAGAGGAACGUGUAACGGGUGGAGGCAGCUCAGUGGUGGUGGGCACACAGCCCAGUGCAGGAUCAGCCAGAGAUGUUAAGGGACAUCUUACCAAAAGGAGACCUAUGAAUGGCCAAGGUGGACAUGUCAAUGGUUUAUAGUUAACAGACAGACGGGAUUAAAGCCACCGGGAACAUACCACCCAGCCACACCCACAAGAAAGGCCGAGAGCCUAAGACUGGCAAACAGCAAAGGUCGACAAGGAUGGG
rnacentral:lncRNA from 1 species